rnacentral:rRNA from 1 species
AGUGAACGCUGGCGGUAUGCCUAACACAUGCAAGUCGAACGGCAGCACAGUAAGAGCUUGCUCUUACGGGUGGCGAGUGGCGGACGGGUGAGGAAUACAUCGGCAUCUACUUUUUCGUGGGGGAUAACGUAGGGAAACUUACGCUAAUACCGCAUACGACCUACGGGUGAAAGCAGGAGAUCUUCGGACCUUUCGCGAUUGAAUGAGCCGAUGUCGGAUUAGCUAGUUGGCGGGGUAAAGGCCCACCAAGGCGACGAUCCGUAGCUGGUCUGAGAGGAUGAUCAGCCACACUGGAACUGAGACACGGUCCAGACUCCUACGGGAGGCAGCAGUGGGGAAUAUUGGACAAUGGGCGCAAGCCUGAUCCAGCCAUACCGCGUGGGUGAAGAAGGCCUUCGGGUUGUAAAGCCCUUUUGUUGGGAAAGAAAAGCAGCAGGUUAAUACCCCGCUGUUCUGACGGUACCCAAAGAAUAAGCACCGGCUAACUUCGUG